rnacentral:rRNA from 1 species
AGGUUAAGUUAACAAGGGCGCAUGGUGAAUGCCUUGGCACUAGGAGCCGAUGAAGGACGGGACUAACACCGAUAUGCUUCGGGGAGCUGUACGUAAGCUAUGAUCCGGAGAUUUCCGAAUGGGGCAACCCAGCAGUUUUAAUCAACUGUUACCACUAGAUGAAUUCAUAGUCUAGUUGGAGGUAAACGCUGUGAACUGAAACAUCUCAUUAGCAGCAGGAAUAUAAAGAAAUUUCGAUUCCCUAAGUAGCGGCGAGCGAACGGGGAACAGCCCAAACCAAAGUGCUUGCACUUUGGGGUUGUAGGACUGAACAUUUGAGUUACCAAAGAACUUGAUAGUCGAAGGAUUUGGGAAAAUCCGCCAUAGAUGGUGAUAGCCCAGUAGAUUAAAUCAAAUUCUCUCAGUUCAGGAUCCUGAGUACGGCGGAACACGUGAAAUUCCGUCGGAAUCCGGGAGGACCAUCUCCCAAGGCUAAAUACUACCUAGUGACCGAUAGUGAACCAGUACCGUGAGGGAAAGGUGAAAAGCACCCCGGGAGGGGAGUGAAAUAGUUCCUGAAACCAUGUGCCUACAAUAAGUCAGAGCGCGUUAAUGCGUGAUGGCGUGCCUUUUGUAGAAUGAACCGGCGAGUUAUGAUCCCGUGCAAGGUUAAGACUAAAAAGUCGGAGCCGUAGCGAAAGCGAGUCUGAAAUGGGCGUUUUGAGUACGAGGUUAUAGACCCGAAACCAGGUGACCUAUCCAUGUCCAGGUUGAAGGUGCGGUAAAACGCACUGGAGGACCGAACCCGUGUAAGUUGAAAAUUGCUGGGAUGAGGUGUGGAUAGCGGUGAAAUUCCAAACGAACUUGGAGAUAGCUGGUUCUCUCCGAAAUAGCUUUAGGGCUAGCCUCGGAAUUAGGAUCAUGGAGGUAGAGCAAUAUUUGGACUAGGGGCCCGUCUUGGGUUACUGAAUUCAGAUAAACUCCGAAUGCCAUUGAUUCAUAUCCGGGAGUCAGACGAUGAGUGAUAAGAUCCACCGUCGAAAGGGGAACAGCCCAGACCAUCAGUUAAGGUCCCUAAAUGUAUGCUAAGUGGAAAAGGAUGUGGAGUUGCAUAGACAACUAGGAUGUUGGCUCAGAAGCAGCCACCAUUUAAAGAGUGCGUAAUAGCUCACUAGUCGAGUGAUCCUGCGCCGAAAAUGUACCGGGGCUAAGCAUACUACCGAAACCAUGGAUGCGACCAUUAGGUCGCGUGAUAGGAGAGCGUUCUAAGGGCGGUGAAGCAAGAUCGUGAGGACUUGUGGAGCGCUUAGAAGUGAGAAUGCCGGUAUGAGUAGCGAAAGAUAGGUGAGAAUCCUAUCCACCGAAUGACUAAGGUUUCCUGGGGAAGGCUCGUCCUCCCAGGGUUAGUCGGGACCUAAGUCGAGGCCGAGAGGCGUAGACGAUGGAUAACAGGUUGAGAUUCCUGUACUAGUUAAGUGCGUUUGAGCAAUGGAGGGACGCAGGAGGCUAAGAUGUGCAUUCUGUUGGAUUAGAAUGUCCAAGCAGUAAGUCUUGUGAAGAGUCAAAUGCUUUUCACUUUAAGGACAAGCUGUGAUGGGGAGCGAAAUUUAGUAGCGAAGCGUCUGAUGUCACACUGCCGAGAAAAGCUUCUAGUGAGUACUUAACUACCCGUACCGCAAACCGACACAGGUAGUCGAGGAGAGAAUCCUAAGGUGAGCGAGUGAACUCUCGUUAAGGAACUCGGCAAAAUGACCCCGUAACUUCGGGAGAAGGGGUGCUGAUCGCAAGAUCAGCCGCAGUGAAUAGGCCCAGGCGACUGUUUAUCAAAAACACAGGUCUCUGCAAAAUCGUAAGAUGACGUAUAGGGGCUGACGCCUGCCCGGUGCUGGAAGGUUAAAAGGAUGGGUUAGCUUCGGCGAAGCUCAGAAUUGAAGCCCCAGUAAACGGCGGCCGUAACUAUAACGGUCCUAAGGUAGCGAAAUUCCUUGUCGGGUAAGUUCCGACCCGCACGAAAGGCGUAACGAUCUGGGCACUGUCUCAACGAGAGACUCGGUGAAAUUAUAUUGUCCGUGAAGAUGCGGACUACCCGCGACAGGACGGAAAGACCCCAUGGAGCUUUACUGUAGCUUGAUAUUGAGUGUUUGUACAGCUUGUACAGGAUAGGUAGGAGCCAUAGAAACCGGAACGCUAGUUUCGGUGGAGGCGUUGGUGGGAUACUACCCUCGCUGUAUGACCACUCUAACCCGCACCACUAAUCGUGGUGGGAGACAGUGUCAGGUGGGCAGUUUGACUGGGGCGGUCGCCUCCUAAAAAGUAACGGAGGCGCCCAAAGGUUCCCUCAGAAUGGUUGGAAAUCAUUCGCAGAGUGUAAAGGCACAAGGGAGCUUGACUGCGAGACAGACAGGUCGAGCAGGGACGAAAGUCGGGCUUAGUGAUCCGGUGGUACCGUAUGGAAGGGCCAUCGCUCAACGGAUAAAAGCUACCCUGGGGAUAACAGGCUUAUCUCCCCCAAGAGUCCACAUCGACGGGGAGGUUUGGCACCUCGAUGUCGGCUCAUCGCAUCCUGGGGCUGUAGUCGGUCCCAAGGGUUGGGCUGUUCGCCCAUUAAAGCGGUACGCGAGCUGGGUUCAGAACGUCGUGAGACAGUUCGGUCCCUAUCCGUCGCGGGCGUAGGAAAUUUGAGAGGACCUGUCCUUAGUACGAGAGGACCGGGAUGGACAUACCUCUGGUGUACCAGUUGUGCCGCCAGGCGCAUCGCUGGGUAGCUACGUAUGGAUGUGAUAAACGCUGAAAGCAUCUAAGUGUGAAACACACCUCGAGAUGAGAUUUCCCAUUCCUUUAUGGAAGUAAGACCCCUGAAAGAUGAUCAGGUAGAUAGGUUAGAAGUGGCAGUGCGGUGACGCAUGAAGCGGACUAAUACUAAUCGGUCGAGGACUUAACCAAG